rnacentral:lncRNA from 1 species
GUUGACCGCUUCGAUCGGGGCCCAAACAUUGACGAAUUAAAGUGAUUUUCCUACCGUAGCCGUAUUUUACUAUACCGAUCACAUCCUAUUUCAUGAGAUUUUUGAAAAUUUUGCUUCCUUUAUAUAGUUGGCUCACAAAGUUGUACACUAGCAUAUAACCUACCAAACAAGUUAUACCACAUUAGUAAGCACGUUAUAAUUCCGAUGACUAAAAUUCACAAAAUGAAAAUUGACCGUAUGAUGUGAUCAUUAUAGUGAAACAUGACUAUGGUAUAAAAUUCAACUGGAUUCAACAAUGUUCGGGGCUCGAUCAAAGCGGUCAACCCUAAUUCAUAUUCACUUAUCACACGAAAACUAUCUUACCUACCUCUUUGUUACCUAGUUUGGUGGAUUCUUCAACACAAUAAAGUCUCACAUAGAUGAGAUUUAACCACCCAUGUAAAACUUUGAGGACAUUUACCACCCGAGGAUAGGGCUCUCCUUAGUGAAGCAUAAACGUAAAUAGGGUUGACCGCUUCGAUCGGGGCCCAAACAUUAGCAAAUUAAAGUAAUUUUUCUACCGUAGCCAUAUUUUACUAUACCGAUCACAUCCUAUUUCACAAGAUUUUUGAAAAUUUUGCUUCCUCUAUAUAGUUGGUUCACAAAGUUGUACACUAGUAUAUAACCUACCAAACAAGUUAUACCACAUUAGUAGGUACGUUGUGAUUCCAAUGACUAAAAUUCAGACGCAGUUGUGAAGUGGGUCCCGCCAGUGGUCCGUGACAUUUUUCGGUGAAUUUUUCCGACACUGGAGCUAUUUUCUAUGCAUUUUUAAAGUUUUGAAAUGGUGGAAAAAAAGUAAAACUUUAAUGACAUGGACAGAUUAGUGACUUAGGACAAAUGAGGUCGCAACAUGUGGCAAUUAGUGUUGAAUUUUCAGAAAAGGAAUCCCCCGAAAUAGAAACUUACCAUUCCUUUUAUAGUAGAUUUCCAUAAAUAGUAACUUUUGUUUUUAAAGUAUAACUAUCCCCCCAAAAUGGAAACUUACCCUUCCUUUUAUAGUUGAUUUUCAUAAAUAGUAACUUUUGUUUUUAGAGCAUAACUAUCCCCCCAAAAUGGAAACUUACCCUUCCUUUUAUAGUUGAUUUCCAUAAAUAGUAACUUUCAGAAAGUCUACUUUUGUCAUGUCAGUUAGCUCAUGUUAUUAUUAGACUUAACUCAUGUUAAUAGUAGACUUAACUCAUGUUAAUAGUAGACUUUACAUCUUAGAGUACUUGAUUCAACUUUGAAGAACAAUCUCAAGAACGAAUUUCCAAAAAGUCUACUUUUUUGUGAUUUUGUUCAUCCAAAU